AGUGAAUAGAUACCCCGGUAGUCCCAGCCGUAAACGAUGCUCGCUAGGUGUCAGGCAUGGCGCGACCGUGUCUGGUGCCGCAGGGAAGCCGUGAAGCGAGCCACCUGGGAAGUACGGCCGCAAGGCUGAAACUUAAAGGAAUUGGCGGGGGAGCACAACAACGGGUGGAGCCUGCGGUUUAAUUGGACUCAACGCCGGACAACUCACCGGGGGCGACAGCAAUAUGUAGGCCAAGCUGAAGACUUUGCCUGAAUCGCUGAGAGGAGGUGCAUGGCCGUCGCCAGUUCGUACUGUGAAGCAUCCUGUUAAGUCAGGCAGCGAGCGAGACCCGUGCCCACUGUUACCAGCAUGUCCUCCGGGACGAUGGGUACUCUGUGGGGACCGCCGAUGUUAAAUCGGAGGAAGGUGCGGGCCACGGUAGGUCAGUAUGCCCCGAAUCUCCCGGGCUACACGCGGGCUACAAUGGAUGGGACAAUGGGUCCUCCCCUGAAAAGGGCUGGUAAUCUCACAAACCCAUUCGUAGUUCGGAUCGAGGGCU
rnacentral:rRNA from 1 species